rnacentral:rRNA from 1 species
UACGAAGGGGGCAAGCGUUGUUCGGAAUGACUGGGCGUAAAGGGCGCGUAGGCGGUUCGUUGCGUCAGAUGUGAAAGCCCCGGGCUCAACCUGGGAACUGCAUUUGAUACGGGCGAGCUUGAAUCCAAGAGAGGGUGGUGGAAUUCCCGGUGUAGCGGUGAAAUGCGCAGAUAUCGGGAAGAAUACCUGUGGCGAAGGCGGCCAGCUGGGCCAGAUCCGACACUGAGGCGCGAAAGCGUGGGGAGCAAACAGG